CCUUCUGGAUGUUGUAGUCGG
rnacentral:miRNA from 1 species